AUUCUAGAUUUUGGAAUCCAGGUACUCAGGCAACCGAUGCGUUCACCCAAGAUUGGGCAGGGGAAAAUAACUGGUUGGUUCCCCCGAUACAUUUGAUUCCAAGAGUCAUACAUCAGUUAAUAGCCAACAGAGCUGAGGGGACAUUGAUAUGCCCUGCCUGGAGAUCAUCCCCUUACUGGGUGUUAUUAUUCCCAGAUGGUUUCAAUGAAAGAUCAGAAAUCACAAGUAUCCAUGAAUUUCUAAUCUUCAACAGUGAUAACUGGAGACACCGUUUCGAGAGGAGCGCCAACAAUCAAGACCUGAGUUCUCUCGCCAACCAGCUGCCCUCCAUAUUGGUGAGCUCAAGAGCUUCAAGCACGGUAACUCAAUACAACUCAUCCUUUACCAGAUGGCAUCAAUGGGCACUGUCACAUGACGAGUCUCCCCUUCCUGGUGAUCCAUAUAUAAUAUCAUUAUAUUUGGUUCACAUCAGCAACUCAGCAGCGUCACCAUCACCAAUUAUCAGUGCUUCAUCAGCAAUUUCCUGGGCACAUCGCAUGGCCAGUUUGGACGACCCCAUGAAGGAUCCAUUGACUGUUCAAGUCAUAGAGGGACUCAAACGAACACUCGCUAAACCAAGGGCAAGAAAAGAGCCGAUAACACCUCAGAUCCUAGUACAGAUGGUACAAUUGCAAGGAGCUGACAGAUCAGUACAUAACCUAAUGAACAUUAGAACUUUGGCUAUGGCUUUAAUAUCUUUUGCAGGUUUCUUAAGAUUUAAUGAGUUAGCCUCGCUUAAGAUGCAAGAUUUAAUGUUCCAUCAUGACCAUUUGUCAAUCCGGAUUCAGUCAAGUAAGACAGACGUGUACAGACAGGGCAGUGAAGUUAUUAUUGCUAGAUCAUUUUCUCAGACUUGUCCAGUAGCCAUGUUAGAGCUUUAUAUUAAUCUUGCAGAGAUUUCCAGUGGUGAUAAAGAGGCUUUUGUGUUCAGGAACUUAACAAAAGUUAAAAAUGGUUAUUCCCUGCGCAAAAACAAUCAGCCCAUGUCAUAUUCCAGAGUUAGAGAGCUAGUUUUGAAAGCAAUUUCUCCAGUAGUUGCAGAUGUUUCCAAAUUUUCUUUACAUAGUUUAAGAUCAGGUGGAGCCUCAGAGGCUGCUAAGGCUGGUGUAGCCGACAGAUUGUUUAAACGCCAUGGGCGUUGGAAGUCGGAGACGGCUAAAGAUGGUUAUGUCCAAGAGAGCUUUUCUAACUUAUUAUCUGUUUCUCAGCGGUUAGGUAUCUAACAUCCACCCGUUCUUUAUUUAUUCAAGCCGAUUGCUGCAGCUCGCACAAUCCCAAAUUAAUGAGUAUAGUGUGUUUUGUUUGUGUAUGAUGAUUUAAAUGAUAAAUGUUGAUGUAUUCGGUUGAGUCCAGAAUGAAUUAGAAUGCAUCGAAUUUAUCAUUGAUAUGCUAAUGAUUGUAUGGUUCGAUGGUCAGAGCGGGAAUUUUGAAUAGGUAGUGGUAUGUGAUGCUAGCGGAGAAACGCGUCACUUCACGCUUGCUAGCAGCAACGCAACACACGUUAUUUAUUUAAUUAUAUGCUAUUGUAAUGGCUAAAGUAAUUCUAUCUUAAAAUACGUUGUUUUAAGAACCUCCCAUUAUCAUUGCUUAGCUAGCCUGAGAGCGGUGGUCAGCAUAGGUCAGGGCAUACGUUUCCACUUUUUCCAAAAAGGUUUGUGGUUUUUCGUAUCUGGCGAUCACCAAAAGCAAUGGGUCGAAUUCACAGUUUGUGAUUAAUACUUAAUAUGUUGAUAUAUAUCUCGAUGUAUAUCGUGCAAAGUUAUCAUUAAUAAUGAUGUGUAAUUUGAGAAGUCGAUGAAACAGUGUAAGCUAAUUAAAAGUAUUGGUUGCUGCAGCUCGCACAAUCCCAAA
rnacentral:misc_RNA from 1 species